GUGAGUAACACGUGGGUGAUCUGCCCUGCACUCUGGGAUAAGCCUGGGAAACUGGGUCUAAUACCGGAUAGGACCAUGCUUUAGUGUGUGUGGUGGAAAGUUUUUCGGUGUAGGAUGGGCCCGCGGCCUAUCAGCUUGUUGGUGGGGUAAUGGCCUACCAAGGCGGCGACGGGUAGCCGGACUGAGAGGUUGGUCGGCCACAUUGGGACUGAGAUACGGCCCAG
rnacentral:rRNA from 1 species